AGAACGAACGCUGGCGGCAGGCUUAACACAUGCAAGUCGAACGGUUGUAGCAAUACAGCAGUGGCAGACGGGUGAGUAACACGUGGGAACCUUCCUAGGGGUACGGAACAACUCAGGGAAACUUGAGCUAAUACCGUAUACGUCCGUGAGGAGAAAGAUUUAUCGCCCCUAGACGGGCCCGCGUAGGAUUAGGUAGUUGGUGAGGUAACGGCUCACCAAGCCUACGAUCCUUAGCUGAUCUGAGAGGAUGAUCAGCCACACUGGGACUGAGACACGGCCCAGACUCCUACGGGAGGCAGCAGUGGGGAAUCUUGGACAAUGGGCGCAAGCCUGAUCCAGCCAUGCCGCGUGAGUGAAGAAGGCCUUCGGGUUGUAAAGCUCUUUUACCAGGGACGAUAAUGACGGUACCUGGAGAAUAAGCCCGGCAAACUUCGUGCCAGCAGCCGC
rnacentral:rRNA from 1 species